rnacentral:rRNA from 1 species
AGCGAACGCUGGCGGCAGGCUUAACACAUGCAAGUCGAGCGGGCGUAGCAAUACGUCAGCGGCAGACGGGUGAGUAACGCGUGGGAACGUACCUUUUGGUUCGGAACAACACAGGGAAGCUUGUGCUAAUACCGGAUAAGCCCUUACGGGGAAAGAUUUAUCGCCGAAAGAUCGGCCCGCGUCUGAUUAGCUAGUUGGUAGGGUAAUGGCCUACCAAGGCGACGAUCAGUAGCUGGUCUGAGAGGAUGAUCAGCCACACUGGGACUGAGACACGGCCCAGACUCCUACGGGGGGCAGCAGUGGGGAAUAUUGGACAAGGGGGGCAACCCUGAGCCAGCCAUGCCGGGUGAGUGAUGAAGGCCCUAGGGUUGUAAAGCUCUUUUGUGCGGGAAGAUAAUGACGGUACCGCAAGAAUAAGCCCCGGCUAACUUCGUGCCAGCCGCCGCCGUAA